GUUUAUGAGUUAUAAAUUCAGAGACAGAAUUUCCAUUUACCAGUGGUGACAUAGGCUUCUGCUUAAAACAGCAGUUCUAAAAUAGCUGCAGUCAACUGAUCCCCAAACAAGCUACCUAAGUUUUAGUCCUUGAAAAAUGUUCUAUUGUACAGCAUUGUAGUCUUGAAGAAAUAAGUUAACAAGCUUGAAACACAUGUGCUAGCUGUACAGGGUGGAAGCAGUUGGAAUAGAGAAGAGGGAAGAAAAAAAAAAAAAAGGAAUUGUUCUGCAUACAACCACAAGAGAAAGAGAAAACAGACUGUAUUUAACUUCACCACAAACAGGAAACAUGCUACGAAGUCACCCACUAUAAAUGAAUGCCUGUCCCAAGACAGUAUCUACAGGAGAGCUAAUCAACUAAACAUGCCUCUGCUGCUAAAUACAGCCAACAAGCUGCUUAUGAGUCAAGACUCUGGAGGAUAAUUCUGCUGCAUAUCAGUAGAAACUUUAUUGGCUAUCUGUCAUGUUCCUUGUGUGAACAAAUAGCAACAUCUUUGGUCUUUAUUUUUUGCAUUCUAGGUUAACAUUCAGGUGAGCCAUGUUUUCAGUAGUUUGUAGUAAGCUUAUACGUGUUAAGGACUGCAAUUGUCAUACAAUCAUUCUGGAGUAUAAUGCGCAGUAAGCUUGGAAAUUUAUAGUGCUAUAUCCAGGGCUACUUAUUAAUUAGCCUUUCAAAUGUUUAUGAAUCUAAUUUCCAUACAGAGCAGCAGUUCAGGGCAAGUUACUGGAUAAACACAGUGAUUACCUGAAAACAGAGCUACAUAAUUUUGUAGCAGCUUUGAAAGUCUUUGGAUUUUGUUGCACUUCUCUUAGGGGGGAAGACUGCAUUGUAAACUCAUACUUUUAAUUUAAGGGACAUGGGAUAUGAGUGGUACUAAGCCUCUUUAUAGAGACUGUGAAAUUAUUUUCUGCCUAUUACAGUAGUUAUGGAAAAAUGAACUUUUUUACUUUGUCAUGUAUUUCUGUAUCUCCUGCUAUUGCAUCUGUUAAUCUUUAAAAAGUAAAAUAGAAAAGGCUCUCAUUGUCAACUGCUUGGUAGAAUUCCUUAAAUCUAAUACCAACUUUGAAAGAUAAGUGAUCAUUCAAGUAUGUCCA
rnacentral:lncRNA from 1 species